rnacentral:rRNA from 1 species
UACGGGGGGAGCAAGCGUUGUUCGGAUUUACUGGGCGUAAAGAGCGCGUAGGCGGCUCGUUAAGUGUGAAGUGAAAUCUCCAGGGCUCAACCCGGAAACUGCUUUACAUACUGGCGAGCUGGAGUGAUGAAGAGGUUUGUGGAAUUCCUGGUGUAGCGGUGAAAUGCGUUGAUAUCAGGAGGAACACCCAUGGCGAAGGCAGCAAACUGGUCAUCAACUGACGCUGAGGCGCGAAAGCGUGGGUAGCAAACAGG